UACAGAGGUCUCAAGCGUUGUUCGGAUUCAUUGGGCGUAAAGGGUGCGUAGGUGGCGGGGUAAGUCUGGUGUGAAAUCUCGGGGCUCAACCCCGAAACUGCACUGGAUACUGCCUUGCUCGAGUACUGGAGAGGAGAUUGGAAUUUACGGUGUAGCAGUGAAAUGCGUAGAUAUCGUAAGGAAGACCAGUGGCGAAGGCGGCCCCCUGGACCGGUACUGACGCUGAGGCGCGAAAGCGUGGGUAGCAAACGGG
rnacentral:rRNA from 1 species